rnacentral:rRNA from 1 species
GGGGAAUUUUCCGCAAUGGGCGAAAGCCUGACGGAGCAAUACCGCGUGAGGGAGGAAGGCUCUUGGGUUGUAAACCUCUUUUCUCAGGGAAGAACAAAAUGACGGUACCUGAGGAAUAAGCAUCGGCUAACUCCGUGCCAGCAGCCGCGGUAAUACGGAGGAUGCAAGCGUUAUCCGGAAUGAUUGGGCGUAAAGCGUCCGCAGGUGGCUUUGCAAGUCUGCUGUCAAAGCUCAGGGCUUAACCCUGAAUCGGCGGUGGAAACUGAAAGGCUAGAGUGCGGUAGGGGCAGAGGGAAUUCCCAGUGUAGCGGUGAAAUGCGUAGAGAUUGGGAAGAACACCAAUGGCGAAAGCGCUCUGCUAGACCGCAACUGACACUCAUGGACGAAAGCUAGGGGAGCGAAUGGGAUUAGAUACCCCAGUAGUCCUAGCCGUAAACGAUGGAUACUAGGCGUUGAGAGUAUCGACCCUCUCAGUGUCGUAGCUAACGCGUUAAGUAUCCCGCCUGGGAAGUACGCACGCAAGUGUGAAACUCAAAGGAAUUGACGGGGGCCCGCACAAGCGGUGGAGUAUGUGGUUUAAUUCGAUGCAACGCGAAGAACCUUACCAGGACUUGACAUGUCGCGAAUCCUUAGGAAACUAAGGAGUGCCUUCGGGAGCGCGAACACAGGUGGUGCAUGGCUGUCGUCAGCUCGUGUCGUGAGAUGUUGGGUUAAGUCCCGCAACGAGCGCAACCCUCGUGCUUAGUUGCCAGCAUUAAGUUGGGCACUCUAAGCAGACUGCCGGUGACAAACCGGAGGAAGGUGGGGAUGACGUCAAGUCAGCAUGCCCCUUACGUCCUGGGCUACACACGUACUACAAUGCUACGGACAAAGGGCAGCAAGCAUGCGAAUGCAAGCUAAUCUCAUAAACCGUGGCUCAGUUCAGGUCGCAGGCUGCAACUCGCCUGCGUGAAGGCGGAAUCGCUAGUAAUCCCAGAUCAGCACGCUGGGGUGAAUACGUUCCCGGGCCUUGUACACACCGCCCGUCACACCAUGGAAGCUGGCUCUGCCCGAAGUCGUUACCCUAACCCUUGUGGAAGGGGACGCCGAAGGUGUGGCUGGUGACUGGGGUGAAGUCGUAACAAGGUAGCCGUACCGGAAGGUGUGGCUGGAUCACCUCCUU